rnacentral:lncRNA from 7 species
AUGUCACCUAUAGGGCUGUCACCCCCCCAGAGGUCACCUAUGGGGCUGUCACCCCCCCCCAGUGUCACCUAUGGGGUUGUCCCCCCCCAGAUGUCACCUCACCCCCCCCAGGUGGCACCUAUGGGGCUGUCAGCCCCCCAAGUGUCACCGGGGAUGGGGGGAUGGGGGGGUCACCGCCCCACAAGUGGCAGCGAUGGGGACUGCCGCCCCCCGGUGGCACCUAUGGGGUCGUCACCCCCCCACCUCCUCCCCCCCACAUGGCACCUGUGGGCUUUGGCAGCCCCAGAUGUCGCCUCACCCCCCCAAGUGUCACCUAUAGGGCUGUCACCCCCCCCAAGUGUCACCGAUGGGGCUGUCACCCCCCCAGAUGUCACUUCACCCCCCCCAGGUGGCACCUAUAGGGCUGUCCCCCCCCCCCCAGAUGUCACCUCACCCCCCCCAGGUGGCACCUAUAGGGCUGUCCCCCCCCAGAUGUCACCUAUAGGGCUGUCACCCCCCCAGAGGUCACUUAUGGGGUUCUCACCCCCUCAAGUGUCACCUAUGGGGCUGUCAGCCCCCAGAUGUCACCUCACCCCCCCCAGAUGGCACCUAUGGGGCUGCCACCCCCCCCAGAGAUCACUUAUGGGGCUGUCACCCUCCCCCAGAGGUCACUUAUGGGGCUGUCACCCCCCCCAAGUGUCACCUAUGGGGCUGUCACCCCCCCCAGAUGUCACCUCACCCCCCCCGGUGGCACCUAUGGGGCUGCCACCCCCCCCAGAUGUCACCUCACCCCCCCAGGUGGCACCUAUGGGCUGUCCCCCCCCCAGAUGUCGCCUCACCCCCCCAGAUGUCACCUAUAGGGCUGUCCCCCCCCCCAGAGGUCACCUCACCCCCCCAGGUGGCACCUAUGGGGCUGCCACCCCCCCCAGAGAUCACAUAUGGGGCUGUCACCCUCCCCCAGAGCUCACUUAUGGGGCUGUCACCCUCCCCCAGAGGUCACCUAUGGGGCUGUCACCCCCCCCAAGUGUCACCUAUGGGGUUGUCCCCCCCCAGAUGUCACCUCACCCCCCCCAGGUGGCACCUAUAGGGCUGUCAGCCCCCCCAGAGGUCUCCUAUGGGGUUGUCACCCCCUAAGUGUCACCUAUAGGGCUGUCUCCCCCCCCCCAAGUGUCACCUAUGGGGAUGUCCCCCCCAGAUGUCACCUCACCCCCCCAGGUGGCACCUAUAGGGCUGUCACCGCCCCCCAGAUGUCACUUAUGGGGUUUGUCACCCCCCAAGUGGCAUCUAUGGGGAUGUCACCCCCCCAAGUGUCCCCUAUGGGGCUGUCACCCCCCUGAUGUCACCUCAGCCCCCUCAGACGUCACCUAUAGGGCUGUUACCCCCCCAGGUGUCCCCUAUGGGGCACUGUCACCCCCCAGGUGUCCCCUAUGGGGUUUGUCCCUCCCUCCCCCCCCCCCCCCGCCUGUCGCGACACGCCCCGCCCCUCCUGUCGCGACUCGGCCACCUGUCACCAGCGCCACCACCCCGCCGAGCCGCCCCGCUGAGCCCAUGGCGGCGGCCGGAAGUGAGCUGCGAGGCGCCGGAAGCGAGCAGCGAGCGGCAGCCGGAAGCGUGCGGAGAGCGGCGGCCGGAAGUGAGCUGGGAGCGGCGCUCUAUCCCCACCGCGCCUCUGUGGUCGGUCCCCCUCGGUCCGUCCCCACGUCACCCUGGUGACCCCAUGGGCCUCUUUGGGGUCCUCCACGUCCCCAAUGUCCCCAUUGGGGUCCUCUAUGUCCCAUUGGGGUCCUCCAUGUCCCACUGUGGUCUUUCACGUUCCACUGAGGUCCUCCAUGUCCACAUUGGGUCCCCAUGGUGUCUCCAUGUCCCAUUGGGGUCCCCAUGUCUCAUUGGGGUCCUCCACGUCCCAUUGGGGUCCCCAUGUCCCAUUGGGUCCCCAUGGUGUCUCCAUGUCCCAUUAGGGUCCCCAUGUCCCAUUGGGGUCCCCAUGUCCCAUUGGGGUCCUCCACGUCCCAUUGGGGUCCCCAUGUCCCAUUGUGGUCUCUCACAUUCCAUUGAUGUCUCCAUGUCCCAUUGGGUCCCCAAUGGUGUCCCCACGUCACCAAUCACUCUUUAAUGAACACCUCCUACAAAACUCUCCCCAAAGACCCCCAUAACCACCCCAAACCGCAUCGUCCCCCACCCCAAUGGAGUCCCACCACCCCAUGGAACCCCACCACCCCCAACCCAAUGGGGUCCAACCACCCCAAACCCCAUUGUUGACCACCCAAUGGAGUCCCACCACCCCAUUGGGGUCCCACCACCCCCAACCCAUUGGGGUCCCACCACCCCCAACCCAAUGGAACCCCACCACCCCAUGGAACCCCACCACCCCAACGGGACCACGGCAGACCCCCAAGCAGCGGGAUGGGGUCCGUGUUCCCAUCAUGGCGCCUGGCGCUGAUGCGUGCGGCGGUGCUUCAUGAGCGCCACCCCAAACCCAACCAUCCUCCAUCCCAAUGGAGUCCCACCACCCCAAACCCCAUUGUUGACCACCCAAUGGAAUCCCACCACCCCAAACCCUAUUGUUGACCACCCCAUGGAGUCCCAGCACUCUAUGGAACCCCACCACCCCCAACCCAAUGGAGUCCCACCACCCCAAACCCCAUCGUUGACCACCCAAUGGAGUCCCACCACCCCCACCCCAAUGGAGUCCCACCAGCCAAUGGAACCCCACCACCCCCACCCCAAUGGAACCCCACCACCCAAUGGAACCCCACCACCCCAUUGGGGUCCCACCACCCCCAACCCAAUGGAGUCCCACCACCCCAAACCCCAUUGCCUUCCACCCAAUGGAGUCCCAUCACCCCAAACCCCAUCGUUGACCACCCAAUGGAGUCCCACCACCCCAUGGAACCCCACCACCCCCAACCCAAUGGAGUCCCACCACCCAAACCCCAUCAUCUACCACCCCAAUGGGGUCCCACCACCCCAAACUCCAUCUUUGACCACUCAAUGGAGUCCCACCACCCCCAAACCCCAUCGUUGACCACCCCAUGGAACCCCACCACCCCAACGGGACCACGGCAGACCCCCAAGCAGCGGGAUGGGGUCCGUGUCCCCAUCAUGGCGCCUGGCGCUGAUGCGUGUGGCGGUGCUUCAUGAGCGCCACCCCAAACCCAACCAUCCUCCAUCCCAAUGGAGUCCCACCACCCCAAAGCCCAUCAUCCCCCACCCCAUGGAGUCCCACCACUCCAUGGAACCCCACCACCCCCACGCCAAUGGGGUCCCACCACCCCAACCCCCAUCGUUGACCACCCAAUGGAAUCUCACCACCCCAUGGAACCCCACCACCACAUGGAACCCCACCACCCCCACCCCAAUGGAGUCCCACCACCCCAAACCCCAUCGUUGACCACCCAAUGGAAUCCCACCACCCCAAACUCCAUCGUUGACCACCCAAUGGAGUCCCACCACCCCAUGGAACCCCACCACUCCCACCCCAAUGGAGUCCCACCAGCCAAUGGUACCCCACCACCGCAUGGAACCCCACCACCCCCACCCCAAUGGAGUCCCACCACACCAAACCCCAUCGUUGACCACCCAAUGGAGUCCCACCACCCCAAACCCCAUCGUUGACCACCCAAUGGAGUCCCACCACCCCAUGGAACCCCACCACUCCCACCCCAAUGGAGUCCCACCAGCCAAUGGUACCCCACCACCGCAUGGAACCCCACCACCCCCACCCCAAUGGGGUCCCACCACCCCAAACCCCAUCGUUGACCACCCAAUGGAACCCCACCACCCCAAACUCCAUCGUGACCACCCAAUGGAGUCCCACCACCCCAAACCCCAUCGUUGACCACCCAAUGGAACCCCACCACCCCCACCCCGAUGGAGUCCCACUACCCCAAAGCCCAUCGUUGACCACCCAAUGGAACCCCACCACCCCAUGGAACCCCACCACCCCAACGGGACCACGGCAGACCCCCAAGCAGCGGGAUGGGGUCCGUGUCCCCAUCAUGGCGCCUGGCGCUGAUGCGUGCGGCGGUGCUUCAUGAGCGCCACCCCAAACCCAACCAUCCUCCAUCCCAAUGGAGUCCCACCACCCCAAACCCCAUCGUUGACCACCCAAUGGAGUCCCACCACCCCAUGGAACCCCACCACCCUCAACCCAAUGGAUUCCCACCACCACAAACCCCAUCAUCCCCCAUCCCAAUGGACUCCAACCAACCCAAUUGGAUCCCACCACCCCAAACCCCAUUGCCUUCCACCCAAUGGAGUCCCACCACCCCAAACCCCAUCGUUGACCACCCAAUGGAGUCCCACCACCCCAUGGAACCCCACCACCCCCAACCCAAUGGAGUCCCACCACCCCAAACCCCAUCGUUGACCACCCAAUGGGGUCCCACCACCCCAAACCCCAUCGUUGACCACCCAAUGGGGUCCCACCACCCCAAACCCUAUUGUUGACCACCCCAAUGGAGUCCCACCACCCCAAAGCCCAUCAUCCCCCACCCCAUGGAGUCCCACCACUCCAUGGAACCCCACCACCCCAUGGAACCCCACCACCCCCACCCCAAUAGAGUCCCACCACCCCCACCCCCAUCGUUGACCACCCAAUGGAACCCCACCACCCCCACCCCAAUGGGGUCCCACCACCCCAAACCCCAUCGUUGACCACCCCAUGGAGUCCCACCACCCCAUGGAACCCCACCACCCCAACGGGACCACGGCAGACCCCCAAGCAGCGGGAUGGGGUCCGUGUCCCCAUCAUGGCGCCUGGCGCUGAUGCGUGCGGCGGUGCUUCAUGAGCGCCACCCCAAACCCAACCAUUCUCCAUCCCAAUGGAGUCCCACCACCCCAAACCCCAUCGUUGACCACCCAAUGGAGUCCCACCACCCCAACGGAACCCCACCACCCCCAACUCAAUGGAGUCCCACUACCCCAACCCCCAUCAUUGACCACCCAAUGGGGUCCCACCACCCCAAACCCCAUCGUUGACCACCCAAUGGAACCCCACCACCCCAAACCCCAUUGUUGACCACCCAAUGGAGUCCCACCACCCCAAACUCCAUUGUCCCCCACCCCAAUGGAAUCCCACCACCCCAAACUCCAUCCGUGACCACCCAAUGGAGUCCCACCACCCCAUGGAACUCCACCACCCCCACCCCAAUGGGGUCCAACCACCCCAAACCCCAUCGUUGACCACCCAAUGGAACCCCACCACCCCAAACUCCAUCGUGACCACCCAAUGGAGUCCCACCACCCCAAACCCCAUCGUUGACCACCCAAUGGAACCCCACCACCCCCACCCCAAUGGGGUCCCACCACCCCAAACUCCAUCUUUGACCACUCAAUGGAGUCCCACCACCCCAAUCCCCAUCGUUGACCACCCAAUGGAACCCCACCACCCCAACGGGACCACGGCAGACCCCCAAGCAGCGGGAUGGGGUCCGUGUCCCCAUCACGGCGCCUGGCGCUGAUGCGUGCGGCGGUGCUUCAUGAGCGACGAGCUGGAGACGAAGCUCUUGGCGCAGCUGCCGCAGGGGUACGGCUUCUCCCCGGUGUGGAUGCGUUGGUGGAUGAUGAGGGUGGAGCUGGCGCGGAAGCUCUUCCCGCAGUACGGGCAGCCGUACGGCUUCUCCCCGGUGUGGAUGCGGCGGUGGCGGCGCAGCGUCGUGGCCUCCCGGAACGCCUUCCCGCAGUCGGCGCAUGCGUGAGGCCG